rnacentral:rRNA from 1 species
AAUAGAUACCCGGGUAGUCCACGCCGUAAACGAUGAAUGCUAGGUGUUAGGGGUUUCGAUACCCUUGGUGCCGAAGGAAACCCAUUAAGCAUUCCGCCUGGGGAGUACGGUCGCAAGACUGAAACUCAAAGGAAUUGACGGGGACCCGCACAAGCAGUGGAGUAUGUGGUUUAAUUCGAAGCAACGCGAAGAACCUUACCAGGUCUUGACAUCCCCCUGACCGGUCUAGAGAUAGGCCUUUCCUUCGGGACAGGGGAGACAGGUGGUGCAUGGUUGUCGUCAGCUCGUGUCGUGAGAUGUUGGGUUAAGUCCCGCAACGAGCGCAACCCUUAGGUCUAGUUGCCAGCACGUAAAGGUGGGCCCUCUAGAACGACUGCCGGUGACAAACCGGAGGAAGGUGGGGAUGACGUCAAAUCAUCAUGCCCCUUAUGACCUGGGCUACACACGUACUACAAUGGCCGGUACAACGGGCAGCGAAGGGGCGACCCGGAGCGAAUCCAAACAAGCCGGUCUCAGUUCGGAUUGCAGGCUGCAACUCGCCUGCAUGAAGUCGGAAUUG